AGUCGACGGCAAGGUUCCUUCGGGAACCCUAGAGUGGCGGACGGGUGCGUAACGCGUAUGCAACUUACCCUCUACAGGGGGAUAGCCCGGGGAAACCCGGAUUAAUACCUCAUGGCAUCAUAACCUGGCAUCAAGAAGUGAUUAAAGAUUUAUCGGUAGAGGAUGGGCAUGCGUGCCAUUAGCUAGUUGGUAGAGUAACGGCCUACCAAGGCGACGAUGGCUAGGGGGUCUGAGAGGAUGAUCCCCCACACUGGCACUGAGACACGGGCCAGACUCCUACGGGAGGCAGCAGUAGGGAAUAUUGGUCAAUGGGCGAGAGCCUGAACCAGCCAUACCGCGUGAAGGAUGAAGGCGUUCUGCGUUGUAAACUUCUUUUAUAUGGGAAGAAAAAGGGGGUGCGCCCCCAACUGACGGUACCAUAUGAAUAAGCACCGGCUAACCCCGUGCCAGCAGCCGCGGUAAUACGGAGGGUGCAAGCGUUGUCCGGAUUUAUUGGGUUUAAAGGGUGCGUAGGCGGGUAAUUAAGUCAGUGGUGAAAGCCCACAGCUCAACUGUGGAGGCGCCAUUGAUACUGGUUAUCUUGAGUGUAGUUGAGGCAGGCGGAAUUUACGAUGUAGCGGUGAAAUGCAUAGAUAUCGUAAAGAACACCUAUAGCGAAGGCAGCUUGCUAAGCUACUACUGACGCUGAGGCACGAAAGCAUGGGGAGCGAACAGGAUUAGAUACCCUGGUAGUCCAUGCCGUANACGAUG
rnacentral:rRNA from 1 species